rnacentral:rRNA from 1 species
GACAGAGGGUGCAAACGUUGUUCGGAAUUACUGGGCGUAAAGGGCGCGUAGGUGGCCUUCUAAGUUGAACGUGAAAUCCCUGGGCUCAACCCAGGAACUGCGUCCAAGACUGGGAGGCUUGAAUCCGGGAGAGGGAUGCGGAAUUCCAGGUGUAGCGGUGAAAUGCGUAGAUAUCUGGAGGAACACCGGUGGCGAAGGCGGCAUCCUGGACCGGUAUUGACACUGAGGCGCGAAAGCGUGGGGAGCAAACAGG